rnacentral:rRNA from 1 species
AACCGCUUAGAAGGAAACGGAUAGAGCUGACGAAACUCGGGGGCAUUCAUCUGGUCGUUGCUGCUCGCGUUGGAGGGUGGGUGAUCUUCGGACACUCGCUUUUCCCGUGUUGUAGCGACCGGUGCAUUUGCCUUCGGUAUGCGCCGAGAGCGCCGCCGUCGUGUUCCGACCGGCUGGAUAGCGGCCCCGGACUUCGGUCCAGGUGUCCUGUCCGACCGUUAGGCUCAUCUUCGGUGGCGUUGCUCCGUAGCUAAGGCGUCCCGCCAACGGACCAGGAGGUGCGGCGGGCUAGUGCCGUCGAGGGCGGUCGCGUGCGACCUGUCUUCGGCGGCGUUGGUUCGUCGUGCUGCACUGUGCCAGGACGUCGUCUCGGCGUGAAAGUCGGCCACCUAUCCGACCCGUCUUGAAACACGGACCAAGGAGUCUAACAUGUGCGCGAGUCAUUGGGUGUCAAACCUAAAGGCGGAAUGAAAGUGAAGAUCGGCUCGACCGGUUGAUAUGGGAUCCGUUCGGUCACGGCCGAGCGGCGCACCAUAGCCCCGUCUCGACUGCUUGCAGUGGGGCGGAGGCAGAGCGUACACGUUGGGACCCGAAAGAUGGUGAACUAUGCCUGAGCAGGACGAAGCCAGAGGAAACUCUGGUGGAGGUCCGAAGC